GACGAACGCUGGCGGCGUGCUUAACACAUGCAAGUCGAACGAAGUGGCGAACGGGUGAGUAACGCGUAAUUAACCUGCCCUUCAGAGGGGGACAACAGUUGGAAACGACUGCUAAUACCGCAUACUGAAGGAGGGGAUUGCGUCUGAUUAGCUAGUUGGAGGGGUAACGGCCCACCAAGGCGAUGAUCAGUAGCCGACCUGAGAGGGUGAUCGGCCACACUGGGACUGAGACACGGCCCAGACUCCUACGGGAGGCAGCAGUAGGGAAUCUUCGGCAAUGGACGAAAGUCUGACCGAGCAACGCCGCGUGAGUGAAGAAGGUUUUCGGAUCGUAAAACUCUGUUAAUCGGGACGCGGUACCGGAAUAGAAAGCCACGGCUAACUACGUGCCAGCAGCCGCGGUAAUUC
rnacentral:rRNA from 1 species